rnacentral:rRNA from 1 species
UACGGAGGGUGCAAGCGUUAAUCGGAAUUACUGGGCGUAAAGAGUGCGUAGGUGGUUUAGUGUGUUAGAUGUGAAAUCCAUGGGCUUAACCUGUGAAUUGCAUUUAAAACUGCUGAGCUAGAGUGUUGUAGAGGGUGGCGGAAUUUCCAGUGUAGCGGUGAAAUGCGUAGAGAUCGGGAGGAACACCAGUGGCGAAGGCGACUACCUGGACCAAGCACUGACACUGAGGCACGAAAGCGUGGGGAGCAACAGG